rnacentral:rRNA from 1 species
GGGCUGCAGUAGGGAAUAUUGCGCAAUGGACGAAAGUCUGACGCAGCAACGCCGCGUGGAUGAUGAAGCAUUUCGGUGCGUAAAAUCCUGUCAGUGGGGACGAACCGGCCAGGUAGUAACUGCCCUGGUCCUGACGGUACCCGCAGAGGAAGUUCCGGCUAACUCCGUGCCAGCAGCCGCGGUAAUACGGGGGGAACAAGCGUUGUUCGGAUUUACUGGGCGUAAAGGGCGUGUAGGCGGACUAGCAAGUCAGAGGUGAAAACCGCAGGCUCAACCUGCGGCCUGCCCUUGAAACUGUUGGUCUUGAGUACGGGAGAGGAAAGCGGAAUUCCAGGUGUAGCGGUGACAUGCGUAGAUAUCUGGAAGAACAUCGGUGGCGAAGGCGGCUUUCUGGACCGAUACUGACGCUGAGGCGCGAAAGCCAGGGGAGCAAACAGGAUUAGAUACCCUUGUAGUC